rnacentral:sRNA from 1 species
CGACUAAGGUUCGACUCGAGCGAAGCGAGAGAACGUUGCCGCAGGCAACGGCCCGAAGGGCGAGG